rnacentral:lncRNA from 1 species
ACAGCGCGGGCGCAGGCGCCCAGAGGCGCACAGGAGACCUCAGGCCCAGACUCCACUCCCCAGCUGUGAAAGGACUGCUGGCCAGACCCCCAAGCUAGCCCGCCAGGCCUCCAUAGAGCUGCCCAGCAUGGCUGCAUCCAGUACCAAGAGUUGGUGGGAGACGGGUGAGGUACAGGCUCAGUCUGCGGCCAAGACUCCGUCCUGCAAG